ACAAGCAGUGGGAGCCUACUUGUUAGGUGACUGCGUACCUUUUGUAUAAUGGGUCAGCGACUUAUAUUCUGUAGCAAGGUUAACCGUAUAGGGGAGCCGCAGGGAAACCGAGUCUUAACUGGGCGUUAAGUUGCAGGGUAUAGACCCGAAACCCGGUGAUCUAGCCAUGGGCAGGUUGAAGGUUGGGUAACACUAACUGGAGGACCGAACCGACUAAUGUUGAAAAAUUAGCGGAUGACUUGUGGCUGGGGGUGAAAGGCCAAUCAAACCGGGAGAUAGCUGGUUCUCCCCGAAAGCUAUUUAGGUAGCGCCUCGUGAACUCAUCUUCGGGGGUAGAGCACUGUUUCGGCUAGGGGGUCAUCCCGACUUACCAACCCGAUGCAAACUACGAAUACCGAAGAAUGUUAUCACGGGAGACACACGGCGGGUGCUAACGUCCGUCGUGAAGAGGGAAACAACCCAGACCGCCAGCUAAGGUCCCAAAGUCAUGGUUAAGUGGGAAACGAUGUGGGAAGGCACAGACAGCCAGGAUGUUGGCUUAGAAGCAGCCAUCAUUUAAAGAAAGCGUAAUAGCUCACUGGUCGAGUCGGCCUGCGCGGAAGAUGUAACGGGGCUAAACCAUGCACCGAAGCUGCGGCAGCGACACUAUGUGUUGUUGGGUAGGGGAGCGUUCUGUAAGCCGUUGAAGGUGGCCUGUGAGGGUUGCUGGAGGUAUCAGAAGUGCGAAUGCUGACAUAAGUAACGAUAAAGCGGGUGAAAAGCCCGCUCGCCGGAAGACCAAGGGUUCCUGUCCAACGUUAAUCGGGGCAGGGUGAGUCGACCCCUAAGGCGAGGCCGAAAGGCGUAGUCGAUGGGAAACAGGUUAAUAUUCCUGUACUCGGUGUUACUGCGAAGGGGGGACGGAG
rnacentral:rRNA from 1 species